AGCCUUUUUUUUCUCGCGAUAUCCCAUUAUAUUCUCUGUGCUGGAUUCGUCCGGCUAUGGCGAUAAACGCGGUCGUAAUAAGCCGAUCGGACCCGGGGGCGGUACCCGGCGCCUCCACCAAAUGCCCGUGCGGUUAAGCCAGGCAUGGCCCAAAAACCACACUCACUUGCGCAACGCGGGCAUCUGAUGGGGGCGAAAUAGGAUCGACGAAGGUGUAAAGGACUUAGCUUUUGCUCGGCAUGGUACCGCCGUCAUCGGGCCACCAGAAUAGUUGCAAACGACAACUAUGCUGAGGCCGCUCUCGCUGCGUAAUGCAGUGCGAAAAGCCUGAAAUGAAGUCCUUAUCCUUAGCCGGGUAAGGCGCGGUUCGGAGGGCACCGGGCAACAGAAGCCCUCCACU
rnacentral:tmRNA from 1 species